AACGUAGGUUCCGAGCGUUAUCCGGAUUUACUGGGCGUAAAGCGCGUUCAGGCGGUUUGGCAAGUCGGGCAUGAAAUCUCUCGGCUCAACCGGGAGAGGUUGUCCGAUACUGCUGGACUUGAGGGCAGUAGAGGGUGGUGGAAUUCCGGGUGUAGUGGUGAAAUGCGUAGAUAUCCGGAGGAACACCAGUGGCGAAAGCGGCCACCUGGACUGCACCUGACGCCGACACGCGAAAGCUAGGGGAGCGAACGGG
rnacentral:rRNA from 1 species